CCUACGGGAGGCUGCAGUGGGGAAUAUUGGACAAUGGGGGGAACCCUGAUCCAGCCAUGCCGCGUGUGUGAAGAAGGCCCUCGGGUUGUAAAGCACUUUCAGUGAGCAAGAACGCCUGGUGGUUAAUACCCAUCAGGAAAGACAUCACUCACAGAAGAAGCACCGGCUAACUCCGUGCCAGCAGCCGCGGUAAUACGGAGGGUGCGAGCGUUAAUCGGAAUUACUGGGCGUAAAGCGCGCGUAGGUGGCUUGAUAAGCCGGUUGUGAAAGCCCCGGGCUCAACCUGGGAACGGCAUCCGGAACUGUCAAGCUAGAGUGCAGGAGAGGAAGGUAGAAUUCCCGGUGUAGCGGUGAAAUGCGUAGAGAUCGGGAGGAAUACCAGUGGCGAAGGCGGCCUUCUGGACUGACACUGACACUGAGGUGCGAAAGCGUGGGUAGCAAACAGGAUUAGAUACCCGGGUAGUC
rnacentral:rRNA from 1 species